AAAGAAUAUGGCCACAUCAAAAGGGGAGGAAGAGAAUAUUCGUUAUACACUUAACACUUUUUAUUAAAUUGGAUGAAAUUUAUAAUAGACACACUCAAAAACGUAAUUUUCAUUCUUUAUCCAAUGAAUCUCGUUUGUUAUUUAAUAAAAAUUACAUUUUAAAAAAUGUUACCGGCUGAUAGGAACACAGAUAAGAAGAUAGCUUCGAGGGCAGUGCCUCCAGAAACAAAGAAAGGGAAGGUAAUAGCUCAAUUCUUAUUCUAUUUAUACUAAUCCCUUAUUAACAGACGUACUGAUUGAGGUAAGAAGGCUUUGUGAUUGUUCUUUUGGAUCUUCCUUCUAUUUGCACCCGUCUUUGGUUCUGUGGUUGCUAUUUCUUGUUCCUCUGCUGCUUCCCUAUCACCGGCAUUCCUAAUAAAACAAAAAAGAAAAAAAAAAAGUAUGGCACACCAUGCUAGAAGAAGUCCAAUACCAAUUAAAGAUUCUAUUAGCCUAUGGAUGAAGCAUAAAUUUGGUGUUAUUUUCAACAAAAAAUAUCUCUCGAGUUCUUUGAAAGCAGAGUUGAUGUAUUCUACAAAUAUCAAUAUGGGGUUUUCUUGAAAAAUUAUUGGAACUCCCUCUAGAAUGGGUUAGAUUCAAAGGAAGAACACUAGCCACACUAGCCUGGAAACUAGAAAGAGUGAUAAGCAAACUCGAAGGUUAAUUUUCUUAACUGGGUUAGGAAAGAAGUGUUAAUCAAAGUAAUCUUUCAAGCUAUUUCCUUAUAUGCCAUGUCUAUCACUAAGUUUUCCAAUAUAUAUAUUUGCAAUUCUCUCUGCUGUAACGAAAGUGUAUUGUAGUAGACUUAACAAAUACUGAGGUAUCCAUUGAAAACGAUGAAAAUAUUUGACAAAAACUAAAUUUUCUAGAGGUAUGCAUGGGUUUUCAAGAGAUUUCCAUUAUGAAUGCAUGCGCAAAUCUUCAACAAAGCCAGGUGAAAGAAUUGAAGUAUCCUAGAGCAAUAAGGGUGAGAUCAUGAGAUUAAUUUAUUUUCCAAAUGACAAUUUCCUGGAGCAUUGCGGGUGACAAUUUAGUGUGUUUUUGUAUAACUGUUUCGCCAUCCCUGACACGCAUUUCAAGACACCAACAAAAAAAUAAUACACUUGCUGCUUUUAAAAAAAACGCAGGUUACGUUUGGAAAAACGGUAACCCAAACACACUAUUACUAAAUGCCUUUUGUCUUGUUUGCUAAGUAACCAAGAAACGAUAGAAUAUACCUUACUUAUUUGUUCAUGGAAUAAGACGGCUAGUUUGCUUCAUAGAUCUAAUGUACUC
rnacentral:lncRNA from 1 species